AUACUGGUCACGUAACAAUCCUCGUUGGAUGCAUGAAUCCCACACCCAAUAUCCCAAAACUGAAUGUAUGAACUGGAAUAACAGGCGACAAAAUAAUUGGUCUCUUUGAGGGUAACUUAAAUGGUCCGGCGUAUUUAGAUUUGUUGGAAAAUAGUAUUAUACCUGAGUUGGCUCGGAUGUUUCCAAAUCCAAACAGUAACAAUAUCCCAAACGACAAUAUUUGGCUACAACAAGAUGGUUCCUUACCUCACUAGGCGUGUGUGGUGAGGCAAUACCUAAAUAAUGUGUUACCCAGAAAA